UACGGGGGGGGCAAGCGUUGUUCGGAAUUACUGGGCGUAAAGCGCACGUAGGCGGCUUUGUAAGUUAGAGGUGAAAGCCCGGGGCUCAACUCCGGAAUUGCCUUUAAGACUGCAUCGCUAGAAUUGUGGAGAGGUAAGUGGAAUUCCGAGUGUAGAGGUGAAAUUCGUAGAUAUCAGGAGGAACACCGGUGGCGAAGGCGGAUCUCUGGGCCAUUACUGACGCUGAGGAGCGAAAGCGUGGGGAGCGAACAGG
rnacentral:rRNA from 1 species